rnacentral:lncRNA from 1 species
ACCCUUUCCGGCACCAACGGCUCUGGAGAUUAACUAGACAGGUAGAUAACAUGAAUGUUCAAUAAAUCAGAUUUACAAAAGAGUAAAAAGAUGUAAGACCUGCAAGAGAGUUGUUUUUCCCGCUUCCACUCUGUCCGAAAAUUAGACCUAAACUGUGGCAAUUGACAGAAAUGAGCUACCACACAAAUGAAAAAUCCUUUUCUCCUUUAUGACAUAUGUAAAACAUCCAACAUUUAUAUGUUAAACAGUUUAUCCAGAUGCUAGUUAAAGUGGUUUUAUGAGGGACUACAAGUACAAUACGUCUUUAUCUAGUUUAACCAGGAUAGAUACAAGGAGAUACAUGAUGCUAGUUUGACCAGGGACUACAAGGGGAUACAUUAGGUCCUUAUAUUUUAGGAUUGAUUCAAUAAAAUAGUAUACCUUUACACUGUUAUCCUUAAAUUGGUGAACAUCAGCAUCCAUUUUUUUGAAGUCAACAUUUUUUUGAUCCCUGCACAUGUAAAAUCAAUAGAACAUAAAAAAUCAUGCAUUUCUCCAUAUUCAAGUCAUAUAUCUUACUAACUAAACUGAAUUCAAUGCUUAUAUUUAGGGGAUUAAUAGAACUGGAUGCAAGUUACUUAUUUAUCAGAUUUGUAGUACAAUUACUAAUGUGCUACAAGCCUACAAUGACUUUUUUAUCCUAGAUCCUACACCAGAGUUAUCUACCCAAAAAUAUAAUGAAAAAAUUGCUCAC